rnacentral:tRNA from 1 species
UUGCUGCUUGGACAGUGGCGUAAGUAGUAGCAUCAUUAUUGCUGCGAGCCAAAAUCAAGGGUGAGUGUAUACCGUACAAAACAGUAUCAACAAA